rnacentral:lncRNA from 1 species
AUGGUUUAUUAUAGGGGGGAAUGGGGUUAUUAUGGGAAUGUGGUUAUUAUGGGAUGGAUCUGGGUAUUAUGGGAUGGGAUGGGUUAUUAUGGGUUGGGUUAUUAUGGGAUGGGAUGGGUUUAUUAUGGGAUGGGUUAUUAUGGGUUGGGUUAUUAUGGGAUGGGGAUGUGGGCCCCCCCUGCCCCCCACAGCACCCAUGGGUGCUGCCCUGCGCCGCAUGCAGGGGGCGCUGCGGCGUCGCCAUGCCCCAGGCUCUGUCCCAUGGGGGGUCCUGGCCGAGAGCUCCAGGAUCUGGCGCACGCUGGGACCCUCCUUUGUGGACGGGCUGGCGGCCGCCGGUUGGGAGACGCAGCGACCCCUGCUGGCCCCCGACCAAUGGGAGCUCGAGUGGGCGGGGCCAGGGGGCGGGGCCUCGAAGGAGGAGCCCCGCCCCCUGUGACCGGAUCCGCCCCCAAGGAGCCCCAAAAUGGGCUGAAAACAGCGGAUUUUAGCAACGAAGGGGCCAAAAAUCCCCAAUUUUGGGUUAUUACUAAAAAUGAGCAAUUUUCUAACCGUGUUUUUGGUCAUUUUGGGGCAGUUUGGGUUGAUUUGGAGGUGGUUUAGGGGCUUCUUUUUG